rnacentral:lncRNA from 1 species
UUCGGCCCCCGAAUGUUGCAUGGUUUCGCAUGCGAUUGGGGCAGCCGAAGCUGAGUUGGCUAGUGAGCUGAGUCAUGUUUUUUUUGACAAGUGUUGGCCUCAGAUUCUUGCCAUGGAAUGACCACGUCUCUUAUGACUCAUCUGUACAUGUUUUUGGUUGUUCUUACAGCAGUUUGAGGUGCUUGCAAAGGUGUUGAGAGUUGAGAGAAACAAAAGUUACGCUUUUGAGAUUUUGAGAGUUUGAAGAGAGGUUGAUCUGUUUUUCCUUUGUUCAGUGUGUGUAUCUUCCUGUUUCCAGAGGUAAGGGCAGUUUUAGACCCUGUUUAUAUAUUUUCUGAAGAGUGAAAGGAAGGAGAAGCAUGCUUAGGUUAUUCAUGGUAGUUUUUGAUGAUUUAUGUAUGUAUACAUGUUGAUGUGUUAUGUUUGUUUUGUUGUUUGGGGUUAUUAGCUAGUUUUGGACCCCUGUGAACAUAUACUUGAG